rnacentral:rRNA from 1 species
AUUGAACGCUGGCGGCAUGCCUUACACAUGCAAGUCGAACGGUAACAGGUUAAGCUGACGAGUGGCGAACGGGUGAGUAAUACAUCGGAACGUGCCCAGACGUGGGGGAUAGCUCGGCGAAAGCCGGAUUAAUACCGCGUGUGAUCUGAGGAUGAAAGCGGGGGACCGUAAGGCCUCGCGCGUUUGGAGCGGCCGAUGGCAGAUUAGGUAGUUGGUGGGGUAAAGGCUUACCAAGCCUACGAUCUGUAGCUGGUCUGAGAGGACGACCAGCCACGCUGGGACUGAGACACGGCCCAGACUCCUACGGGAGGCAGCAGUGGGGAAUUUUGGACAAUGGGCGAAAGCCUGAUCCAGCAAUGCCGCGUGCAGGAUGAAGGCCUUCGGGUUGUAAACUGCUUUUGUACGGAACGAAAAGGCGCCUACUAAUACUGGGUGUUGAUGACGGUACCGUAAGAAUAAGCACCGGCUAACUACGUGCCAGCAGCCGCAGUAAUAC